rnacentral:rRNA from 1 species
UACGAAGGGGGCUAGCGUUGCUCGGAAUCACUGGGCGUAAAGCGCACGUAGGCGGCUUUUUAAGUCAGGGGUGAAAUCCUGGAGCUCAACUCCAGAACUGCCUUUGAUACUGAGAGGCUCGAGUCCGGGAGAGGUGAGUGGAACUGCGAGUGUAGAGGUGAAAUUCGUAGAUAUUCGCAAGAACACCAGUGGCGAAGGCGGCUCUCUAGUACGGUACUGACGCUGAGACGCGAAAGCGUGGGGAGCGAACAGG